GUCAUAUGAAUAAAACCGAGUACUUGCUCAUGCUCAAGCCGAUUUGAGUGAAGUAAAGUCUUUGAGCAUUUACUCAAAACCAUAUGAAUAAAACGAUGCUUUACUCAGAGUAAGUUCGAAUUUCGAACUGAGCAUUUACUCUGUCAAAAAUGUUGUUUUUGUUUUGGUUAUCUGAUUUUUGCGAAGAAAAAGAAAGCCAAUGGUGCAAGCAGUAGUGUCUUUGCGGAUCUCAUCCGGUUUUUGCCGUUAAAAAUGGUUUGAUGAUGGAACCACGCCACACACCCCGAUGAAAAUCGACUGCCAACAUCACGUAACCGGUAACUGCCUUCAUCGGUGUGUAGUCGCUUACCGAGCCAGAAGGUGACCGUGUCCAGCAGAAUCGAUUACCAUAUAAAAGCAGCAACGGUACCAGCAGAUUCAGAACCGGCAGCAAGAACUUCAGCAUCAGCUGCGCAAGGAACUUUAAUUCCGAUCAAAGCCGUUUCCGUCUGUUUCCUUGUGCUCGGUGUUGGCAAUAACGUUCGAAAGAAAAAUUGAUCCACCGCACAUUGCAGCUACCCUUACCACGUCGAACAAGGACACCGGUGAAAACUUUCGCCGACAUGAUUGGGUUCACGAUACCAUCGGAUAUAUAGUGGACGAGGAGCCGGCAAAUAAGUGGACGAGGAGCCAAACGGAGAGACUGUCCACAUUCCAAGACAGUCGACAUUCUCAUCGGGCUGCAUUGGUGUAAGAACAGGAUCAAAGCAGAGUGUGCUGAGGGAAUAUUUCGAUGAGGAUUUCUUGACAAAAUCCCUAAAGGAAUGCUUUGAAUAAUUUUCAAUAAAUAUAUUGAAUAACUUUUAAGGAAAUUCUACAAAGAUCAUGUGAAAUGUUAAUUGUUAUAAAAACGUUUGUUUCAAUUUAUUUGAGUUAUAAAUAAAUUUCAUAAAUCGUACAAUUGUACGAUUCGUAUAA